rnacentral:rRNA from 1 species
UGCCCCUUAUGCUUAGGGCUACACACGUGCUACAAUGGGUAGUACAGAGGGUUGCCAAGCCGUAAGGUGGAGCUAAUCCCUUAAAGCUACUCUCAGUUCGGAUUGUAGGCUGAAACUCGCCUACAUGAAGCUGGAGUUACUAGUAAUCGCAGAUCAGAAUGCUGCGGUGAAUGCGUUCCCGGGUCUUGUACACACCGCCCGUCACACCACGGGAGUUGGAGACGCCCGAAGCCGAUUAUCUAACCUUUUGGAAGAAGUCGUCGAAGGUGGAAUCAAUAACUGGGGUGAAGUCGUAACAAGGUAGCCGUAUCGGAAGGUGCGGCUGGAUCACCUCCUUUCUAAGGAGA